CCGGCGCACGGGUGAGUAACACGUAUGCAAUCCACCUGUAACAGGGGAUAACCCGGAGAAAUCCGGACUAAUACCCAUAAUAUGGGCGCUCCGCAUGGAGAGUUCAUUAAAGAGAGCAAUUUUGGUUACAGACGAGCAUGCGCUCCAUUAGCCAGUUGGCGGGGUAACGGCCCACCAAGGCGACGAUGGAUAGGGGUUCUGAGAGGAAGGUCCCCCACAUUGGAACUGAGACACGGUCCAA
rnacentral:rRNA from 1 species